AGCCAGGGGAGCUCUGGCUGCAGCCGGCGGAAGAGCGGCGGAUGGGCGGUGGGGGACUGAGACACCUGCGCGGGAUCCCGGCGGGCGUGGGGAUGCACGGGGCUGAUCCAGGGUGAAACUGGAGCUUCGGUCUUUGGGAAACAGCAGUGGAAUGGCUCUGGGAACAGUGUUCCUAUACGGCCGAUGUUCUCGUGCGGAUGCGCUCUGCGUGAGCUCGGCUCGCUGAUGACACCUCACCCGGCCCUCGUGCUCAUCAGGGGGUGGGGAUGGGACCGAGGGCAAAACCGAGUGUGUGGUUUCUCUAAUGCGUGGAAUACGUGGUGCAGUUCCCGCUGCAGCCGUAAAAGGAAUGGAGUUAACCUGAACAAUUGUUUCCAUGGUGAAGUGUGGUACUUUGAGAUCCUAUCUAUGGAUCAAAGCUUGCAGCCUUUUCUCAGGCGAACUUCUGGUGAUGUCAAUUAGAAGUAUCCUGGAUAUGGCCUGCAGACUUCUGUGAAUGAGAGUAUGGGAAAUAAUGUGCUGCCUUGCUCAGACCUUAGUGCUGUAGCCAGCAUGCUGUGGCAGAGGAAGUGAAGAUUCCAACAGUCCCUUCUUUUUCCAGCAGUCCCUCAGACAAACAAAGUUUCACAAGAUCUUAAAUGUAAAAAUGCAGUUGUCACUCUUCAUGCCUGCAAUAAAGUAUGGAAAGCAAAUCCA